UCUGGCUGGUCCCCUUAGGCUGGUCCCGUAAGCCCCCCGCCGGGGCAGCCCGCGGAGGUGGUGAGGAGCGGGGAGGCAACACUGGAAAAUGUGCCAGCAAACCCGUCACUGCUACAGACCUACCCCAGCCUUACUGUCCACUUGUCCACAGGUUUCCAGAGCUUUUGGUUGUUGACCGAAGCUGAAGUCCCACUCCCUAUAAAACUGAAGUAGAAAUGGACGUAGACAAAAAGCAUCCCAUGGUGCAUACAGCCGUUUGGGAACAGUUUGGUUUGUUGAAAGAAGAUCUUCAGUAUAUCUUGAAAACUAAUGGCACAUGCAAAUGUAUAUGGGCUGCCGAAAACAUACAGAAUCACAAAACCACAGGUUGGAAGGGACCUCAGGGAUCAUCUAGUCCAACCUUUCUGGGAAGAGCACAGUCUAGACAAGAUGGCCCAGCACCCUGUCCAGACAACUCUUGAAGAUGUCCAACGUGGCCGAGUCAACCACUUCCCUGGGGAGAUUAUUCCAAUGUUUGCUAGUGCAGGGAUGUAUGGAUACUAAAGGCUGGACCUCUUCCUUCCUUUCGUGCAAUUCCCAGCUUCUGGAGACAGCAGUGAAAAUUCUGCCAUCAGCCCAGCCCCUUCUGAAAGAGCUCCUCCAAACACGUGCCUGCAGGACCCGACACAUUUCCUUACACCUCUCAGAACCUACCAGAUGCUAUAGAUAACAUCUGACAAGAAACUUUCAAGGAAGCUUAAUCCCAUCAUAAGUGCAAUGUUUGCUGGUAUUAUUCUACCCACUGGCUAUCUAAACAGCUACUAAUGCCACAUACUGAAGGAUAUAUUCACUUUCAGCUGUGGGAGGAUCCAGUUCAGUAAAUAUUGAAGGAGAGGAAAGGGGAACACAGGACAGUGUAACAAAGAGGAAAACGCUGAAAAGCAAGAUAAAAUAAACCCCUGCAAUGCCUGAGUAUGCCUACUGGACAAUAUCAAAGCUCUGGCAAGGGUGGAAGUGGUUUGUACUAAGAGCCCUCACAAGUCCUCUAGUAAGUUCUUCCUGCAUCGGUCAUUCUAUUUUGAGGCCCUGUGAGGGCCAAGUUCCAGAUGUAUCUCUAAGUCAGAUCAUAUAACAAGCACCUCUGUCAUUCAGAGGGUAAUGUCAUUAUUCAGUAAGAGGAGAAUUUAAUAAGGGGACAUAUGGUGCAAGUGUUGGAAACCCUAUUUUUAAAGGGGUAUUUGAGCUACAAAAACAUUUAAUGUCACUUCUGUACACACUAACAUACUAAUUAAUUGAGAAUUAACUAUUUUACCAACCAGAUCUUGAGCUUCCUUCCUAUACAACAGUAUCCCCUUAAAAAGUGAUUUCUGAGAAUUCCUGUGAACAGCGAAACUGCAGAGAAUAAACACUAUUAUUUAAGUAAGCUAAUAAAAUAAAGAUAACAAGCACUGAAAGGAACAAGUUCAAAGUCAGAGCUUUGAUGUUGCAUUUCUUUUUACUCAUUAAAAACCACAAACAAAGGAAAAAUUCUGAAAGAGGCACAGAGGAGAGCCAAGCCUAGAAAGUUUGCACAGAGAAGUAAUUUGAAGUUGGCUUUUCCAGUUGCAGAACAAGGAUGAUCUCAUGCAAAGGUCUGCACCAGGAUCCACUGCCGACAGAUGAGUCAUUUUAAAUUCAUUCUACCAGGAAACCACAUUCCUCUGCUGAAUGCAGGCUGUCUAGAGGCUUCAGGACCCUGAGGAACAACAAGCAUUUAUUUGCCAGUUCACCUUCUACCAGAAAAACCCUGAACCUGCAGCACUCCCGGCAGCCAUCUCUCCCAGGAUCUGGAGGGACGCGCAGUUAUGCCAGCAAACUCCGUUUGCCGGAAAAUAAAUUUGAGGUGUGCUCAGCUAGCAACAGUGCGAGGCUGUGUCAGAGCCAAAUGUCGGCCAGGCGAGCAGAGCUGAGCAGGGAGAGAAACUGAUGAUUCGACAGUCGGAAGAAGCACCUUGCUGCUCUGCGCUGACUCGAUGCAUUCUGUGCCCAGCGUGCACCAGCUGCUCGGCACAGUCUCCCUGAUGGAGGGAGCAGGCAGCAGGCUGCGGUGAAACCCGAGAGUUCACAGCCAGCCACCCCACCUACAGGCACGGCUCCCACAGCUAUAAAAAGGAGAUUCACUCACUUCCAGUGUUGUCAGACUCCCCGUGGGAAGGGUCGGUGCUGGGAAGAGUUUAGGAGCUGGGUGGGCCGGCAGCACUGACAGAUGUCCGGAUAUGAGAAAGCACUCAGCCACACUUGCUCCCCUCCACCUGGGUGUACAACAUAUCUGCCCUAGUGUGUGUGUGUCUGUGUCUCUUAACCAUGCAACUGUCUUGGAGCAGUCCUCAGUAAACAAAUGUAGCAUCCCUUUCUUUUUCCCCCACUGUCAGUAGCUCUGAGGCUUCCUGAUCCACAUUGUUCUCUUCAACCAUUAAUAUUUACCUCUAUAAAUGGUUUAUGGUGUUAGCCACUCUAUAUCACAACAUCUUCAACAUUCCUUCUUUCCUGUUCCCUUUCUCCCCACUGUUUUGUAUGCCCAUGAACAUACACAACCUGUCUGCUUUGAGACUCCCUGCAGUGAGGUGUGACACUGCAGCACCAUGACCAAAGGCUAAAGAGGCCUUGGGGUCAGGUAGAUGGCUGCAAGUGGUGAACAACAGCAAGUGUACACAGAUCCCAAUACUCCCACAGUCAGGCUUUCAGCCAAAGCCGUUCUGUUUUGGGCAAGGGAGCCUGCAUUUCCAGCCUGGACAAACAGGUUCUAGAAUACUUCAGGAGAAGCUCAGGUGUGCCUGGGGACACUGCGGCAAGGGGGAAGAACAGAACCGAGCUCUGGAAAACUCUCAAUGUUAACUCUACAGAGAAGAGAUUCAUGGUUGGACGCUAUGAACCAAAUGAAAUUAUUCUAUGGUUCUAUGGAUUCCCUCUGAAUGCUUUAAUUCCUGCUCCACAGGACAGCCAUCCAGGAGACCAAAAAUGGCCAUUUUUUUGUUUUAUUUGCCUUCUUUCAAAUACAGUUCUUGCUCAUUCUAUUAACAAACAUGUUACCUGAAAAAGCCCAGAGCUCACAUUUAACACAAAUCUGCACAGAGAGAUAUGACCAAUAAAUAAAUGCAAGUGGUAGUCUGUCAUCUUUCCCAGUUUAAGUAUAAAAAACAGGAACCCUACUCAGAUUUCUGCAUUAAAAAAACUGAAGUAAGUUUCUCCUGCCCUCAUUCAAGGAAACAAGUUCUUUGACAGUAACAUUGAGAGUAAUUGUAAGCAACAGAGUAUCGAUGAAUCUUCUCAUCAGUAGCAGGACUGACAAUCAGCACUGCAGGAAUCCCAGCUGUGAUCACACACUUUCACAUUUAAGAGACAGAAUCCCCAAAAAGAAACAAAAUAAAAUGAAAAAAAACCCUAAACCCUCCCUCGAGCAGCUCAGAAAUUUUGACAACAGUCCUGGCCUACACUUCGGGUAGCCUGAACACCACUAGAAACUCAGACCCAAUCCACCAUUUCAGGAGGUUCCAGACAAGUAUAAAGGAGCCAUCAUUGCCAGCCAAGAGAAAAAAAGCAUCACUGCGUUUUGAACAAGCUGCAAGUAGAGCAGCCAAGCCAUGCUGGGAGAUCUGCUCAGGCCGAAUGACAGCACUCCCACCUCUGGGACGAGGACAUGCAUUUCUGUUGUGAGGCCAUCACCAUGAUAAAUAAAGGUGCAGCCAGCACGAGUUGUGCAACUGGAAAAAACACUUCAUACCCCCACAUCCUACUCUUGGCUUCCCAUGGGAAGGGCACAGUCUGCAGUGACGCUGAAAUCCUCAAACUUGCUCAGAUUUUAAGUGAGUUCUGACACUGCACGCCACUGGAUCGAAAAAAGUGACAGCAAGAAUAAAACAUAACCUUGCAACAAAACUCCCAGUACAGCUGUACUUUGGAGUGGAUAAUGGCCUAACUCCUCAUGUGCCCCAGUGACUGCUCAAGUGUGAUUCCAGACUGAAACACAAAAACCUGCAAACUCAGUCACUGCUGAUGCUAGCAAAUUGCCACUGAAGUCAUCCAGAUGGCUGUACCAGUAGAAUGAGAUUUGUCAAAAUACUCUGUAUGCAUGCUAGAUUACUUGAAUGGUUGUAUCAAACUUGGAAUCUCCCUUUUGAGACUGCUUGCAUAGUAUGUUUUUCAUUCCUCUUAUACUAAAAUGGUCUACAGAAAAACAAGUUAAAAAGCAAGUUUUGCUGCCAUCACACUCUUGCAUUUUUCCUCACCUGUACUGAUAUUAUUUGUAGUAAAUUCAGUUCUCUAAAGCAUGUAUGCAUUAUACAUACGUGCAGCACCUCUGUAGCUCUUGCAGGGCAGCAGUGCAAAUGUUUAAAUUGUAUUUGUUUUGUAAAUAUUAUCUAGCAAAGGAACACAAAUUUCAAAUAUUACCAAGAGAUUAAAUGUCUCUUUCUGUAUGCAAACAGACUUCAGUAUGGUUCUGAACUUCUAAGCUGCUGCUGUGAAGAGUAUCAUGCAAAUAAAAGUAUUCUGGCUGCUCAAAUGACUGAGAAAACGCCAGUAUCUGACAAAAUGUGACUUGAGAGCACACUUCCCAUGAUUUUAUGCCUGGAUCCUAUAUUUAGGAAGACAGGAGUAGUAUGAUUUUGUUCUUUCACAACAGAAUACAACAAUAAAACUAGAAUGACUGACUGAAAUAAGACAACUAAGUUUUUGCACAUAUACUCAAAUCUAAUUUUUAUCAAAAAUAGCCAUGAAUAACCAAAAAAGCCAGUAGUACCUAAUAUUCAAAUCUGAGAAUGAUGUACCAAACCUAUUUAUUUAAAAAACAAAGAAACAGCCAUUUUAUGUCAUGGAAAGGCAAAACUUUCACCAUUAGAAUUGGAUUUCAUACCUGCUCAUAUUUUACUUUUGGCCAGACCUUUCUUUCUCGCUAUUACACUAACUAGACAAACUACAACUACUACACUAGCUUUGCUACUGAUAGAAAUCAGCAUAUCCAAGUAUUCCUUCUAACUUGAUUAAAGUACUAAAAAGUUUCUCAACAGUCUUUGUGUUUAAGCCUAUUAAUAGCACAACAUUACCCUGAAGUACACUUCAUUAAUACUUCCCAGAGAACUAUACAAGUGGGCAGGUGGAGAGUGAUUUGCUCUCAGCGCUGACCCCUAACUUCCUACCGCCACGCUUCAGCCACUGAAGAUUUUUUACAUUCUCACUCUUUUACUCACAAUUUGUGCUUAAAUAUAUACACUGAGCACAUAGGCCAAGAUAUCAUUAGCUAAUGACUGAAGGAAACCAUGAAUAAGCUUAGUCACAUGAGCUGUCCCAGUAGAACUUUGUGUCGAUCACAUCAUGUAACCCCUUUAUACGCCAAGCUGCUUUUGAUGUUUUACUUGUUGAAUGCUGAGUUUUAUUUCCCAACAUACACACGUGUAGGCAAAUAGGCCUUUUGUCCUCUCUUAUAAUUAUCAUGUUGUAUUAUACAAGUAUUACAUUAACAUAUGCUCUAACUGAUGAAGCACAAUGAUGUCAAUAGAAAUAAACAAACACUAUUAAAAAUUGAAGGGGAAAUCUAAUCCUAAACUUUUCAGAACAGAGAGCCUUACUGGAACAUAUAUGUUGGGUAUUUUGAACACCAAUCUUGUUUCAGGAACUCAAACUGGUUUUUUGAUCACCAGGAUGAUCCUUUCUUAGGCUAAAAUGUCCUGGCACAGACACGACAACACUUGCCCUUUAUGCCCGGGAGUGGAAGUUUGCCCUUGCACAGUAAAGCAUCCGAUGGGCCAAAAUGAACACAUUCAGAGAAAGAAGUAAUGACUGCUACGAAGGGUAGAGCACUCUUAGGAAAGAGCUGGUGUCACCACCCACCCUGACAGCUUUAGUGGACAGGGUUAAAGAAAAGCCCUUUAGAGUGCUAACAGAAAUACCCUUGUCAAGGGUGAUGAGAAUGACGCACUUUAUUCAGUUAUUUCUGUUCACUGCCUGCUUACCUAAGAAACAGGUGGUCAACCUGUUGCCUUCCUGCUCUUACCAGUGAGCCAGAAAUUUGUAACAGGGAAGAAAGUACAAGCCUCAAAAAUUAGCAAAACAAUGCCCCAUUAAAAAAAGAAGUAGCAGCAGCUAUCAAGUGAAGAGUCAGCUGCAAAUUUCACAGGUUAUAGUCAGGGUCUACAUUUUCAUCUAAAUUUCGUUCUGCACACGGCAGUUUUCUGAUUUCGCUUCCUUAAAGAGCAAUUUUCCAACACUAAAAACACUUGCUAAACUGCAUCCUAUUUAUCGUUAUAUUAUAAGGCUUUGCCAUCAGCCAUAAAAACAUACUUACGUGCUACCUGACCAACUGGGCAAUGUUAGACCAGUCACUUCAACCCCCAUGUCUCAUUUUCCUGUCUGUAAAACCAAGAAGGAAAAAUAAUCAAAGCAACAGCUUCUACAGCUUAUUUGAAGACAAAGCAUUUUUCGUCUAUAAUUAUGUAAUCUGUGUGAACAAGCCAUUUCUUCUAUUUUAUAUUUAUAUUUAACUUGGCAUGAAGAGAGGGCAUAGCUGACGCAGAAAAAGGUGGAGACAGAGCUUACCUAGAGAGUGAUACCACCUAUAUACCCCAAAGCAUAUUGGAUUGUUACCUGCCUUAUCACGGUUCAUGUGGGAAUGAUUCUAUUUUUGCCAUGUGGUUAUGGAAAAGUCCUGCCUGUGUAUAUGUUCUAAGUGUUGUAGAUAUGAUUCCUAGGUAAGAAUGCUGACACCUGGCACAAGUAUUCUUCCUUUCUCCUUAGAUAAGGAGUAUGCCGUGUUGGGAGUUACACAGAACCAUGCAAGACCUUACUUGCUCUUCCUCUUGCAUGAUUGCCCAGGCACUGCCGCAUUACUUCUAACAUCAUUUCUGCAUGCUGCUUUCUCUCAUGUCCUAUUUGAUCCAUCCCUUGUUUUCAGAUUAAUUGCUUUCUCCAUAAAUCAACUCCCUGCUUACCAUGUUCUAUCAAGGGGGGCUUUAAAUAACUACACAAAGCAUUUUCAGGGGAUCUGGACAAAGCCAGUACACAACCUUCCAAAAAUCCUCUACUUAUAAUUUUACCACAUAUUUUUAUGGUAUUAUAUUAAUAUUCCAAAUUUUUGGUAUUUUAUUUUGGUACACCAAAUUUAUGGUAUUAAUAUACCAAAUAUUAUAUUAAUAUUUACAUAUUAUGCCUUUUUAGUAUUCAGUACCUUUUAAAUCCAGUAACUAAUUUAUUAACCUGACUGAGACAGAAUGUACAUCAGCAUUAGUAAUAUAAGAAUCACUGCAGGUAAGAGACCUAAAUUGCUACCUAACCUUACAUUCCCUUCCACUGAUGCGAACCACUGCAAAAGACGCAGAGUUUCAGAGAGGCUGUAUUGAACUGUCAGUGCAAUUUCUAAUUUGGUCUACCAAGAAUUUUUUAGUCAACUCGAACGUGAGAAGUCAUGGCUCAAAAAUAAGUUCACUGCUAAAGAGAUGGGAAUCAAGUGACUUAAGACUUAUUUGGGGAAGCAGAGAGAAAAGAGAUGCAGCAGUCAUGAAGGGUGAGGAUGGAAACUUAGGUGUAGUUAGUUGUUCCCCAAAUACCAGCAAAGUCAUCAGUAAGAGGGUAAGAUGGCGUCUUCUUCCUUUGUUUAGGCAUAUGCAGUCACUGUUGCAAUCAGUAAGUGCAUCGCUUUUAGGAUGGCUCCCAGACUUUGUCGCUGGCUGGCACAGCGUUUAUCUCAAACCUAAGGCAUUAGUGAGCUAUUGAUCAUCGUAAUAUCAGUUCAGUGAAGCUCAGCACAGUCAAUUCCUUUAGUCUAUUUUUAGUUGCAGUAUUUCCCAUUGGGUUUACUGCAUGCAGAAACGACAUAUGCAAGGGGCAUCAAUAAAUACUUAUACAAGCUUGUUUUUGUUUUCUUCUUUAAAUAUAACCUAUUUUUAUCAACACUGUGGGGAAUACCAAGUAAGCAGUUUAACAUUUUAAGACAAUCUUGCAGCAAGUAUGCUGAGCUGUCAUGGUGUAGAUUAACACAGAGAAUACCAACAAUAGAUAAGCAUAGGAAAUCAGUAAUUCUACCAAAGAAAAGAUAGGAAGAGGAGUGGCAUUGCUA